rfam:Ictidomys tridecemlineatus contig070243, whole genome shotgun sequence.
GUCUAUGGCCAUACCACCCUGAACAUACCGGAUCUUGUCUGAUUUCAGAAGCUAAGCGGGGUCGGACCACAUUCAGUACUUAGAUGGGAGACUGGCCCAGAAUAUUGAGUACUGUAAGCU